GAAAUGCGAUAAGUAAUGUGAAUUGCAGAAUUCAGUGAAUCAUCGAAUCUUUGAACGCGUCUUGCGCUCCUUGGUAUUCCUUGGAGCAUGCCUGUUUGAGUAUCAUGAAAUCUUCAAAGUAAAUCUUUUGUUAACUCAAUUGGUUUCUACUUUGGUAUUGGAGGUCUUUGCAGCUUCACACCUGCUCCUCUUUGUUCAUUAGCUGGAUCUCAGUGUUAUGCUUGGUUCCACUCGGCGUGAUAAGUUAUCUAUCGCUGAGGACACUGUAAAAGGUGGCCAAGGUAAAUGCAGAUGAACCGCUUCUAAUAGUCCAUUGACUUGGACAAUACUUUUAUGAUCUGAUCUCAAAUCAGGUAGGACUACCCGCUGAACUUAAGC
rnacentral:misc_RNA from 1 species